rnacentral:lncRNA from 1 species
CCUUUUUUUAAUUCUGGAUAACGAAGCAGGGAGUGAGCAAAGGAAAAGGUAAUUGAAGGUUUUUUUAUUUCAUUUUUUGUUUUAAUGACAAAAAAGUGUCAAGUGUGCAGACACUGUGAUUUGUCUUAUAUGUCUCCCUAUCCAUUUCAUGGUUGCGUCAUUGUCUUUGAGAAUAUUUAUGUGUUUUUAAGAGUAAGUUUGUGUAUCAACGUGUCCCCGUGCGUGUGUUGUGUGUGCACCUCCCCCCUCCCCCUGUUGUUUGCCCUGUAGAGGGUGUGUAACAUGAUAUCUCUCAGUGUUUAUCCAUCCUUCACUAACUGACAAACUUAUUCACACCAGGCUUCAUUUGCUGCUCGCUACAGCUCCCACAUGGGCUAUAGGGGAGAAUAUCUUUAUCACUUGGCUACAAGACAUCAUAGUAUAAGUUUUAUCUGUUUCUGGAAACUGACAUGGUAAAAGAAGUCCAGAAACAAAACUUAAAAAAAAUCACCCAGUUUCAGUAGAAAUUACCCUGAAGUGUCAUGGCUGCAAUGCCUCAUCGUGAAUUUGAAGAUUUGGUUGAUUAUGAAUGGAGGAGAGGUUGCAAAGUGCUAAACAGUGAGUAAAGCCCUGGAGUGACCAUCAAUCGGAGAAAAUCUCAUGAGGCGGGUAAAAGGACAUCAAAAGAAAGACAGGGCCAGACGUUGAGGCAGACAUGAACAAAGUGAGCAGGGGAGAGAUAGGGAGCAAAGACAGGGUUGUCAUUAGCAAUGUAAUUCAUUCCUUGAGGCUACAUGAAAGCUAAGACAGAGAGGAACAAUAGCUCAGGUGGAGACCACAGUUUGAAGGGCUAGCUUUUUAAAACUGUCUCCCUGUGCCUCUAAAACCCUUUUAGUAUUAAAAAGGUUUCCAUGGAGCCAUGAGAACAAAUCACGGAUGGUAUUUACAAGUCAUAGUUUAUGCCAUUUGUAGGCUAUUGAUAAUACUUGUACAGAUAAUAGUGUUCAACAAGUGUACAAGCACUCAUUGUAUCACAGUACUCACAGAAAUAAGUAUGAUGGAAAAAAUAAUCGAAGGCGGCAGACUCAGUCCUGUGAAAGUAGAAGUGCUGUAGCAGCAAAGAGCCACAGAAGAAAGCAGAACAAGCAUCAGCACAUUAGAUACUGGUAAAAUCAGAUACUUCUUCAGUAGGAGGAGCUGGGGUGGAGGUGGAAGGAAAUGCAGUUUGUACAGGAAACAUCAAGAGAAGGUUUGACACUUGUUUUGACAUCAAAGUGGAUCUAUAAAAACUAAUCAGCUGAGCUGUGCUGGUUUACAAGGAGUGGAUGUAUAAUGGGCUUAGCUUGAUUUCUGCCUGAACUAACACCAAUGCCAGCUAACAAAAGCUGGAACUUAGAGAUUGGAGAUGGAAAUGUCGUCCUGCUACAUUUUAGAUCAAAAUAUUAAGUUGUGGAACAAUAAGCAUUACCUGUUGACUUAACUAAAUAAUAAGUAAAGCAGCAAACUUUGGUCUUUUUAUAGAGAAAGAGGGCAACCCUUGGUUAUAUCAUGAACAGCUACUGAUUUGUUUUUGUGAAAACACAUGCGGCUCAUCUGGGCGAUUUCGCCAUCUAUCAAAUCUUUGUACACAGAGUUCAGGAGGCUGAAUCCUCCGUUAACAUGUCAGACACAAUCUGUCCAUUCAGCUCGUCAUGAUUGCACACGCACACACACACACACACACACACACACACACACACACACACACACACACACACACACACACACACACACACACACACACACACAGACUUAACUAUCAGACUUGGGUAAUGGAUCCGAGCUUCUCAGCAAAAACAGUGGAGCCAUGCAGUCAUGACACAGUGAACAAUACCAGCUCUUCAAAAUCACACUUUUCCUAUUAGGACUGGCAAAGGGAGUUUUAUGUAAGUAUGUGUGUGGCAGGGCAGACAUGUCACUUCAACUGAAGAGGAAAGAGGAAGUUAGUCAUGGAAAAAGAUGGGUGUGAUCUGGAUGCACUGUUGCUAACAGAAGAAGUGAAAAAUAAUGUACAACCGGAAACAAAGGACUUCAUCUCAUUUACUGACGAUCUGAAAAUGUCUGUCUCUUGCACAGCAUGAAUACAAUCCAAACAAAUAUGAAAUGUCUGAUUGGAAAGAUGCGUAGCUGGAUUUGUUCUAACUUAUUAUAUUUUCACUUUUAUUUUCAUUCCCUGACCAGGCUCUGAUCUGAUGCUACAUUUACAAACAUCAUUGUCCCUUUGGAUGAACAACAGCACGGCUUUUUUGUGGGUGUAUUAUGAUUUAAUAUGUUGUCAAAAUAUGAAUGCUGUAGUAUUUUUCAUGUUGAAAUUUGCAUUCUUUUUGUCUAACCUCCUUACUAAAUGCUUUAAAACCUUCUGGUUGCAGUUGUAAUCAUUUUUCUGUCUGUCCAAAGGAGCAAGUCUGGUGACAUUAUAAAGGAGCCAUCCAAGGGUCAAAGGGCCUUGGAGGUGAAGGGACAAAAAAGAAGAAACACCUGAAAAUGGAGAGCUUCCCAUUUGAAUGAUUUAAUGAGGGUGAGGACAGCAAUUGUCUGUGUGACAUCCAUUCGAGUUCAAAACCAGCUCACAACUUCAGUUCUGCCCCCUGAUUAUCUCAGGGAUUUUAACUGUUUGAGGGUUCAUAACUCUCUUUGAUGAAAUCACUUAAAAUCUGACACAAUCUAGAGAGCAGCCCCAGCUCCUUAUCCAAAAACAACAAAUCAUAGUCAGAAAUUUGGGCGUUAACUCAACUGAAACUUUACUCUUUCCUUUUCCUUUUCACUUGAAGCCCUCAAAGUAUUUUAUUUUUUUAACUUGUUUACUCAAUGCCCAUAUCUGUAUCUACACUUCAUCAAGCCAUGGUUUAACUGUACCCUGCCUAAUAUUCACUAUCUUAGCGUCCCUAUGUACGGCUGUUAGCGUGUGUGUGUGUUUGUGUGUGUGCAUGUGUGUGUAUGUGGCUAUAGGGGAGACUGUGUAUGUGACCUUUUUGUUUUUAAAUGGACUGUAAAGCACUUUGUGUUACCAUCCUUUGUAUGAAAAGUGCUUUAUAAAUAAAGUUUGAUUUGAUUUGAUAGCGUGACUAAACCAAGUACAGUAUAUAAACAUGCUGAGAGUUGAUUUGGGUUGUUCAGCUGUUGGGUCAUUUUGUUGUGAUGAUUUUGUUUGCUGUCUUGAUUUUAUUGUAUGGUUUUUGUGUAAAUUUGUCUGUAUUUUUCUCUGUAUUUUUUAUGUGUUUAGGGUCCUUGCUUAUUGUUAUUUGUAUUCAUGCUUGCAUGUAAAAGCACUUUACAAACCCUUGUUUAAAGGUGCAAUUGAAAUAAAACCAUCAUCAUUGUUAUACUAACAUCAAGUGUCAUCCCCCCCCCCCCCCCAAAGAUAGAUACUGUCGGUUAAAUACCAAACAUUUUUCAUUUGUGGCUACGGUGGUCUUAGGAAAUUGAGUUAAAGCCAGGGAUGCCUCCCGGUCUGAAACACUGCGGUCAAAGAAGAACAAGUUAAUCUAACAGGUUGAAUUCUUCUUCCACUUUUCUCCUCCACCAUUUCUUUCCCUCAGAUGCACCCCUCCUCCCUCCAUUCCUCCUCUUUCCUCCCUCUCUUAUGAAAUUCUCAGCUGCUGGGUCAUGUUAGGUCAUCCCUUUAGAGUCUAAUUUAGAUGUUUUAACUGCACCUUGUUGGGCAACACUCCAGCAUCUGGUGUGAGUUUGAAGAAUGACAAGGAUUUUGGCAUUAGUCUUGACAUGAAAUUUUGCUGAACUGGCAAAAUGUUGCCUGAUCUAAGUGGAACUCAUUGUAAACUGUGUGUUUUCAGUUUUAUUUCAUGACCAAGGCAAGAAUAUCUCACUAAGUCUCAACUUUGCUCACAUCCCUAGCUGGUGUCCACAAAGUUCAUCAAAUUAACUGUCAAACUUAUUUGUAGUAGUUGUCUUUAAAUGCCCUAUAAAAAAAGAAAUCAAAUAAACAUGUCAAAUGCAAUACAUCGAUGAUACUGUGCAGUAUAACUGAGCAAUAGGCCACAUAUGUGUAGACAAGGAAUUUAAGAUUUUUCCGGCAGUUAUUCUGGUCGUGCUGCAGCCAAAGGAAUCCCAGACAUCCACUCUGUCUUCAUGCCUCAAACCUUCAGCCUAAACUCACCAGCCCACAGCUCAAACCACUGACAGCCCCUCCACCCAACACCUUCUGCUACUGCACCCGAAACGACCUCAUAACUCCUCCUCAGUCUGUCGCAAUGGCUGAUAAAUGUGGCGUAACAACUACACCACUUGGCAGAAUCCUGGUUUGUUCAAACUUUGCAUUCAUUCAGUAUGUCAAAAAAAGGCGAUAAUAAAAUCCUCCUGAUUGCUCUAGAGUUGUGCUAAAGCAGAGGACACUAAAAUGUCUCUGUGUGAAUGUGAAAUGGUGUUUAAUGUAGGGAUGCCCUGUCUUGACCUGCCAAAAACCUUCACACUUCAAAUGCUCUCUAUCACAGACUGCGCAGUCUGGAGAGGUCAGAGGUCACUUCAGAAGGGGAUGCCAUGUGUCUGUGCCCCUGUGCUCUCUUCCAGCUGUCCCAACUGGCAGCAUAACCCCAGAAUAGCCAUUCUUAUCUCUCUGUCUGGGUUUGUUUUGUGUUUGUGUGUCAGAACAAGACAGUUGGUGAGCGUUUGUGAUGACAACUUGAAUAUCUUUGUUUCAAGGAAGAGGAGCCGGUCAUGUGGCGAAGUGUUUAUCUAAAGGAAGGAAGGAAGAUUAGUGAGGCUAGUGUCCUAUUUUUGGUAACGCAACAUUAGAUAGAGGGGUUGUGCUCUGUACAUAUACACAGUUAUUUUAGACCACGCUACAUUUCCUGCUAUAGAAAUAAUUGAUGUCCGCACAUGAAAGAUUAGUUUGACAUAAACAAAUAAAAAUUCUUAUGGUUUGAUCACAUGUAUAACAGAAGGUCGAGUUGGCGUUUUAACCUAAACCUCAAUCAAAAUGUUCAGAAUAUCUUACAGACUAGACUGUAGGGGCUUUGAAGAGCAUCUGAUCCGAACACGUGUACACGUGCAUGUGUGUAUUUUGAGGGUGUGUUGUAUAGGUGUGCCUUCGUUAAAUGUAAUCAUUAGCUAUAACAGAAAGGGCUGAUAAAUCAUGACAUUUGUGUAAAUUACAGACCUUUAAUGGCUGCUUUCUUUUCAUACUUGUGCCAGAACUCAUUUCCUUGUUGACUUGUGGAGUUGAAGUGGCUCUGCCCUCUUUGUGUUUGUGUUUUCAUGGGACAAACCCUGAUAUUGCUGCGCUCCCACCCUGAAUCUUACAGUCAUUUUCAGCUUCUUGUCCUUUCCAUUUAGAGUUUGCAGCAAAAUUUCAGGAUGCCUCUUUUGGCUUUCACUGUCUCUAUGCUAUUGUUUCAUGUGGCCAGGUGCUUAAACAAAUGAUUGGACCUCUGAGAAUGCAAAUCUCAUGGAAAGCAGUGUGUGUCAGUGUGACUACAUGUGAGACCUUUCAUCCUCAUCAGACUGGUUUGGUUACACAUAUGCAUACACACAAGCACACUUUUGGUUUAGCUGAGGUUUGAGAAUGUAGUAAUGGUUCAGAGCAGCUACAAUACACACGCACACGCACACGCACACGCACACACACACACACACACACACACACACACACACACACACACACACACACACACACACAGAUGCCACAUUAAGUUACUUCCAAAUAUCUUUUCAGCUAUUUCUUUUAUUUUCCAUGUCUGUCUUCAAACAGUCGACAAAGCAGAACCACUCAAACGUAUCCUGGUUUUUAAUGAGCACGAAUCUGUCAUCAAUUUAAUAUUAUAUCACUAACCAUAAAAGAGAUAUCGAUCUUAAUGGGUUUUCUUACCUGUUUAAAUAAAGGUUAAAUUUAAAAAUUAAGUUAUUUUUACCAUGUAGCUGUUUGACCAAAAGGAGAAAAUGUGGCAUAGCAAGUCUUUUUUUAAAAUGUAUUAUUACUCAGUUUAUCGUAAAAAUCACUUAUUUUAGACACACAUCUUAAUCACUAUGAUAUAAAAUGCUUUCCAACAAGUCUUAACACAGCAAGAUAGAGGAAGCUAAUUUACAUAUAUGUUUUAGCUUGACAAAAUAAGGCAAGAUGACUCAUCACACAAUAUGUGACACUAUGAAAUAAUAUAACACUUUACAAUACAAUAUGAUGCUAUCUAGUACUGUUUAGUAGAUAAUGAUUUGGUAUAUGACACACCAACAUGACGCUACUGGGAGGAUAAAAUAAGAUAAUAUUUAAUAUGACAUAAUUUGUGACAUGGUUGGGAUACAAUACAGUGCGACAUAAUACAAAACAAUACCUUGUUAUUGUUUCAUCAUUUAUGUUACCUUAUGAUAUAAUACUAUACGAUACAGUGUGAUAUGAUACACUGUGACACGUCACAUUAUGACAGACAUAUUACAACAUGUAUAGCCCAUCAGUCUUUGAUGAAUCCCUGACCCUGACCCUAACCCUAACCCAAAACACAAAAUAUUACAAUACAGUAUGAUACAACAACAUAAGAUAUGAUACAAUAUGAUACGAUACAAUAAGAUAUUAUUUGCUAUGGCGCAGUACAUUAUGGUUUUAACUCAUAGAUCACAAUUCUAUAUUACAAUACAGUACACCCAAUUAUGUUAUGUUUUGUUAUGAAAUGUCUCUUUACCUUAGGUUACUUUACAUUACAAUUUGACACAUUGUGAUGCAAUACAUUGUGAUAUGAUACAAUGAGGUAUGAUACGAUAUGAAAUUUUAGCAUACAAUAUGAUAUGAAACAAUAUGAUUGCUAUAAGAUGCGAUAUAAUAUAAUAUGAUAUGAUAUGAUAUGAUUAGAUUAGAUUUGAUACAAUACCAUUUGAUAGGACAGUGUAAGAAACCAAGCAAUCAGUCAAAGACAUAGAUCUGAAAAAAGAUCUCCUUCCUUUAAUUUAAUUUGGAAAAGAAGAAAUCAAUAAUAAAAUAUUCAACUUAAUAUGGUAGAAAUUAUGCGAAAUCUGGGCCCAAACUAAAAGUGGUCGACCAAGGAAAAAAGAACCCAGAAAAGACAAGUUACAACCUAACAACAUAAUCCAAAUGGACAUAAGUGAGACAUGUCAGGAGUUUAAAUAGACAAAGGACAAGUCCAACAUAAACACAA